rnacentral:tRNA from 1 species
GGCUCCAUAGUGUAAUGGGUAGCACGUCUGCUUUAUACGCACAAGGUCCUGAGUUCGUGCCCCAGGUGAAGCCA